UUAGGUCGGGAACUCAAAGGAGACUGCCAGUGAUAAACUGGAGGAAGGUGGGGAUGACGUCAAGUCAUCAUGGCCCUUACGACCAGGGCUACACACGUGCUACAAUGGCGCAUACAAAGAGAAGCGACCUCGCGAGAGCAAGCGGACCUCAUAAAGUGCGUCGUAGUCCGGAUUGGAGUCUGCAACUCGACUCCAUGAAGUCGGAAUCGCUAGUAAUCGUGGAUCAGAAUGCCACGGUGAAUACGUUCCCGGGCCUUGUACACACCGCCCGUCACACCAUGGGAGUGGGUUGCAAAAGAAGUAGGUAGCUUAACCUUCGGGAGGGCGCUUACCACUUUGUGAUUCAUGACUGGGGUGAAGUCGUAACAAGGUAACCGUAGGGGAACCUGCGGUUGGAUCACCUCCUUACCUUAAAGAA
rnacentral:rRNA from 15 species